rnacentral:rRNA from 1 species
AUGUCGCAUGCCUCAUUGGAAGUUGUAUGCUGGAAUGUUAGGGGGAUAAGCAGCCCGGCCAAGAGAAAGACACUUAGGGAGUUUGUGGACACGGUGCGUGUUGCGAUCGUAUGUAUCCUGGAGUCCAAACUCGAAAGGGUGAACCAAUUCACUGUCUUGCAAUGUAUGGGAACAUCAUAUGAUGGUUUCGCUUAUCUCCCGGCAUCGGCGACGAGGGGUGGGAUCAUUGUGGGCUGGGACUCA